rnacentral:rRNA from 1 species
CCUACGGGUGGCUGCAGUGGGGAAUAUUGGACAAUGGGCGAAAGCCUGAUCCAGCCAUGCCGCGUGUGUGAAGAAGGCCUUCGGGUUGUAAAGCACUUUCAGUGGGGAAGAAAGCCUUGGGGCUAAUACCCUCGAGGAAGGACAUCACCCACAGAAGAAGCACCGGCUAACUCCGUGCCAGCAGCCGCGGUAAUACGGAGGGUGCGAGCGUUAAUCGGAAUUACUGGGCGUAAAGCGCGCGUAGGCGGUCUGAUAAGCCGGUUGUGAAAGCCCCGGGCUCAACCUGGGAACGGCAUCCGGAACUGUCAGGCUAGAGUGCAGGAGAGGAAGGUAGAAUUCCCGGUGUAGCGGUGAAAUGCGUAGAGAUCGGGAGGAAUACCAGUGGCGAAGGCGGCCUUCAGGACUGACACUGACGCUGAGGUGCGAAAGCGUGGGUAGCAAACAGGAUUAGAUACCCUAGUAGUC